UACGGGGGGGGCAAGCGUUGUUCGGAAUUACUGGGCGUAAAGGGUUUGUAGGUGGCCCGCUAAGUCACACGUGAAAUCCCUCAGCUUAACUGGGGAACUGCGUGUGAGACUGGCAGGCUUGAGUGCAGGAGAGGAACGCGGAAUUCCAGGUGUAGCGGUGAAAUGCGUAGAUAUCAGGAGGAACACCGGUGGCGAAGGCGGGUCUCUGGGCCGAUACUGACGCUGAGGAGCGAAAGCGUGGGGAGCAAACAGG
rnacentral:rRNA from 1 species